UUGGACCCGGACCCGGACCCGGACCCGUCCUCACAGACUCAGAGGUGAAGGACAGGUGAGAAGAUCUCUGGAGCUCAGCUCGUGUUCAGAGACCAACUUCACCUUCAGAUCAAACAACAACAGAGUCGAACCAUGGAGAGAGGUGGACAACAUCUCCAUCAAGUCCUCCAGAACAGUGGAGCUGAAGUCCAGGAGGCUGCUGUAGAUCUGCAGGAGGUCCAGGUUCAGGUGUUGGUCUUCAAAAGUCCAGAAUUAAGGUUCCUUUGGUUCAGUAUUUCCUCCUGCCUGUCCUGGAGUCUUCAGAGGAGCUUCAGUAUAUGCUUUAGAUUAGACCCUGAGGCCUGCACACACACACACACACACACACACACACACACACACACACACACACACACACACACACGUUUGUUUCAUAUUCCUCUCAGGAUGUGAGUCAGCCUCGUUUGUUGUUUUAAUUACAGAGUGAUGGUGAUGGAUCUGGAGGAGAAGGAGGAGCAGAAGGAGAAGGAGGAGCAGAGCUACAAAAACAUCUCACUGCCGUUCGUGAUUAACUGCAGAAGAAGAAGAAGAAGAAGAAAGACCCACGACGUCCUGAGGAGAACAAGAGGGGUUUGUCCUCAGAAAAUGUCUCCUCCAGGCUUCUGUAGAGUAACCCCCUGACCUCCACCUUCAUCCUGAUCGUCUCCUAAAAGGUCGUAUCCUCCGAUCGUAGCUGAUCGUAACCAUUCAAGUUAACGUGUCAAUUUACACCGACUUCUUUCCGUUCCUCUGAGGAUCGCCGGACUCCUCAGCUGAUCACAAGAGUUCUAUUUUUUCUGGACGCCGGAGCAUGGCGGAUAAAUUCAGCACAGAUUAACCCGUGCUGGAAAGGAAGUCGGGCACAGACACAAAAUAAAACAUCCGGCUUCUUUUCAAAAUAAAACACAAACGACGAACAAGUGAAAGGUUUUUAGACGUCAUUUCACCCCGAUGACACCAUGGAUGAGGAGAUGCUGAUUCUAGAAGUCUAGAAGUAGAUUUCCUCCUCUGGAAGGACACAAUCUACUGCUUAUAUGUCUAUGUGUCUGUCUUUAGAGAGACAACUCGUUAUCGUGAGAUUGAACGUGAAUCUGCGGGUUCUUGUGAGUUCUGGCGUUCUGAAUCGGAGCUGUUCCAGAUGCGGUGUCUGUCUAACAGCUGAUGGACUCUUUGGAGAACCCUCAGAUCUGAGGGUUCCUCUACAUCAGCAGAGUCAGAAACAUGAUCAUAACGUCAAGAUGAGAAGCAGAAGAAGAUCCAACAGACAUGUUUGGAGAUCCUGUUUGAAACUGCAGGACAGGAGUCUGCCGUCAGGAGACUCCUGAUCCUGGUGGACUUGAAAAUGGUCCAAAUGGAGGAAGAAGGUCCAGAACCAUCAGCUGAAGAGCAUAAAAAGGAACCAUGAAAGACCGCUCUCUCUGUAGGCAGAUGUUUGUGAAGAUCUCUGAACACUAGAGCUGCUGCUAACUUAUCUCAAACAUCAGAUCUCAGCGCCAACGCCAUCGAGGUGUGAAGGUGAACCGCCAAUCAGACUGUAAACUGAAGAAGAAGAAGAAGAAGGAAAGGAGAAAGGAGGAUUCAGACAAUUUUCCGAACUUUCUGGUUGGUUUCUACUGUCCGAUAUUGUAGCACGCUAACUUUGUUUGGGCUCCUGAACGACACGGGGGAGCAGCGUCUGCCUCACAACCAAUCAGGUUAGAGGAGGUGGAGAACGGCUUUGUUUACAGUCAGAAAGAGCGGACCGCUCAAAAAUGUUCAAAUGUUGACGACACAGACAGAAGAGAACACAGAGAUAUCGAUAUAUUACCAAAUAAUCAAUAACUAAUAACUGUUGACUGAUAUUAGAAGAUGCUUCUUUAACAGAUUCCUGUUUACUUCACCUUUAAGUUGAUUAAAAAGAUCAAUAAUAUUAGUUAAAAUGGUUUGCUUUAUUUAAAAUGGUAAUUAAAUGGAUUUUAUGUUAAGUUAAAAAAAUAUUAAAUAUAUUAUUAUUUUUUUUAUGUUAGAGUUUAUUUAAAAAGUAUAAAAUUGUUCAGUAUAAAUAUUUGAAACAGCAGAAAACUCAAAGAAAAAGUAAAUGUUCCUAAUCUGUAAAUGUAACUUUUAUUUAAAUGUUCUUUAUUUGAGGAAUUCUGACUUUAUUCUCAUUUAUUUAUUUUCUGUUGUAGAUUUUUUUCACCUGCUUGUUGAAACAAUAAACCAGGAAACGAGUGAAACCCUGAAGUCUGGAUCAGUCCUUCCUUUAUCAAAUAUGUCGUAGAGAAGACACUGGACAGAGACGCCACCUUAACAUCAGGUCUGAGGGACUCAGGGACAGAGACGGACAAGAGGGACGAUGGAGACCCAGAGGGACAAAGACAGACCCACAGAGUCCCAAUCAAAGACCUGAAGGAGGUCCUUUCAGAGAGAGGAGGAGAAAAUGGAUCGGUGAUGGUAAACAGACUGACGGAGGGGGGGUCCAGCUCUCUCUCUCUCUCUCUCUCUCUCCCUCUCUCUCUCUCUCUCUCUCUCUCUCUCUCUCUCUCUCUCUCUCUCUCUCUCAGCUCCUCUGUUAUCUGACGGCUUCACUGCUUCACUCAGAGACAGGAAGACCGACGUGGAGAUCUCCAUUCAGCCGCCAAACCUCUGCUCCGAAAAAAACACUCUUUUCAAAAUGAAUGAAGAGUUUUUCCUCCUCCUGUUAGAGAGAGGGAGAGAGCGAGAGAGAGAGAGAGAGGGAGAGAGAGAGAGAGGGAGAGAGAGAGAGAGGAGAGAGAGGGAGAGAGAGGGAGAGGGAGAGAGAGAGAGAUCUUCAGCUGUGACAAAAAUAAAAAGUCUGUGCAGAUUAGAAGCUUCCACCUCCCCUGGGUUUCUUUCAGAGCUCUUGGACGGCUGAACCAAUGAAGGAGACAGACUCAAUGUGUGUGUGUGUGUGUGUGUGUGUGUUUGUGUGUGUGUGUGGGGGGGGGGGGGGUCAGCAGGGGGGCUGCAUUGAGUUUCUGGGCAGUCCGGGGGGGACGGAUCUGUUGGUUUGGAGAAAACUGAGGAACUCUUGAUUCUCCUGAUUCUGCAAAAAUAACCAACAUACAUGAAGUCAGAUAUAUCUGUGUGUGUGUGUGUGCACGUGUGUGUGUGCACGUGUGUGUGUGCACGUGUGUGUGUGUCUGAGGUUCUCCUUGUCCCGACCCAUCCUGAA